rnacentral:rRNA from 1 species
AUGUCUGAUGUAGUGAAGUUCAUAUUUUACUAUGAUCCUGGUACUGUCCAAACAACUGAGAUGGGAGCUGAUCUGAGUGAAUUUACUCAUAUAGAGGUACCAAUGAGCGCACCUCAAACAUGGUCUGUCGGUCAGUUGAAAGAAUGGAUUGCGGCAAGUUUAGGGCUUGAUACUGAAACACACAUCGUCGGUGUUCAUGCAUUGUGGACACGGUCAAGUUCAAUAAUUUACUUUUAUUUGAGGCCAAUAGAGCGAGACUCCGAUUGGGUGCGGUGGUUACAAGGUUGUGAAUGCAGGGGAUGCAAUCCUAUUGCCUAA